UAUUGGCCAAGGGAGCAGGUAUGGGCAUGUUCCAUCUGCUCCACUGCCAUGUUUUUGAUGAUUAGACAAAACGCAUUGAAGAAAGAAGAGAGUCACAGUGUAACUUUAGAGAAAGAGCUGCAGGUUCAUCCAACAUCCAUAGCAGUGGCAUUGAAAAUUGUGACCUAAAGAUGGAAUUAUAUGAAUAAACAAAUAAAGAAGCCUUCCAUUGGAAAAAUCUCCUGCCUUGCUCCCCCUCCACUUCUGGAAUUCCCCUCCCUCUGGAAGCUAAGACGUGAAGAUGCUACUUGGUGAUGGAUGGCAGCCAGUGGUACAAGGCAAAGUACCGCACGGACAUUUUUAAGGGGAAAAAAAAAUCAUGUCUGCCUUAUCGUGUUGGGGAAGUGAAAGGCAAUCAGGGAAAAAGAUGAAACAUUUAAACUGACCCUACUUACCUAGCAACUAUAUCUCACACCGAGACAAGAAUUUCUGAACUGAAUAGCACACCAAAUUCCUUGAAAUUUGAAUAAAACAGGAAACAGCUAUUUAGAAUUGUGCAAACUGAGAUCUUAAACAAGGCAUGUAACAUAAACAUACACAAAUCAGUUCAAUAUUUGAAAAAGGAGGAUCCUUUCUGCAAUUUCAUUAAACCAUGCAGAUCUCUGAAGAUUGCAAUCCAUCUGUCAAGACUUUCAAGGUCACCAAUGCCAACUUAGAAAACUUUGUAAACCGGAAAGGUACCCAGGAGGAAAAUUAAAUGAAGCAGCUUCUAUCUGAAC